UAUCUCUGUAGAGUCUGCAUAUCAAUAAGCGGAGGAAAAGAAACUAACUAGGAUUCCCUUAGUAACGGCGAGUGAAGCGGGAAGAGCUCAAAUUUGAAAUCUUCAAGGUUUUACCUUGACGAAUUGUAGUUUAAAGAAGUGUUUUCUGUUGGUAGUUUUGGUAAAAGUUCUUUGGAAUAGGACAUCAUAGAGGGUGAGAAUCCCGUAUUUGACCAUUACUUUCCAGCUUUGUGAUACACUUUCAAAGAGUCGGAUUGUUUGGGAAUGCAGUCCAAAAUGGGUGGUAAAUUUCAUCUAAAGCUAAAUAUUGGCGAGAGACCGAUAGCGAACAAGUAGCCGCUGAGGGAAAGAUGAAAAGAACUUUGAAAAGAGAGUUAAACAGUACGUGAAAUUGUCAAAAGGGAAGCGUUUGACACCAGUGUUGUUUUCUCGAAAAUCAAUUAAAAAGUGGUGGAUUUUGUAUUGUUAAGACCUUAUCAGCUUACUGUACUCUUUUCCUGCACUUUUUAAUGCACUUUUCGUUUAACAAGUCAACAUCAAUUUCUUUUGUUGUAAAAGAGUCAUUGGAAGGUGGCUUUCACUUCGGUGAAAGUGUUUAUAGCCUUUGGCUUCUGCAAUCGGAGAGAUUGAGGUCUGCAGCGUAGAUCCUUCGGGGCUAGAUACGUAGAUGCUAAGUUAUAGUUUUUUAUAGACAACUUGUUGACUAUAAUUAAUCAUGUAGCUUACUCGUUUGCGCUAUUUUACCUAGCUUAGGAUGUUGAGUCAUCACACAUCUCU
rnacentral:rRNA from 1 species